rnacentral:lncRNA from 1 species
CCUUCUUGCCACACCGGACACAUUUCUUGAUCUCUUCAAGACAAACAUUACUCUUGUGGCCUUUCCCACCACAGUUGAAACAAACAAUUUCCGAAGGAGCAUCCUUCUUCUUAGGUCGCCUAUCAUCGACCAUUCUCUGCUUGCCCUUAUCAGCAGGGGCACUAUAAGGCUUAGGGCGACUCUGCUGGCCCUUAGUCUUCCUCUCAUUAACAACCUUGUAAUGAGCUCUGGUAUCCUCUUCGUAGAUCCUACAGCUGUUCACCAAAUCAGGGAAAACUCGGAGUUGUUGAUAUCCGAUCGCCCUCUUGAUGUCAGGCCUCAAACCAUUCUCGAACUUGA